GCGUCUGUAGCUCAGUGGAUAGAGCAAUGGCCUCCGGAGCCGUGUGCGUAGGUUCGAUUCCUAUCAGACGCA
rfam:Clostridium saccharolyticum-like K10 draft genome.